rnacentral:rRNA from 1 species
AUGCCAAGCCACAAAUUCGCCUGCCCCAAGGGCGUUCUUCAUGCCCGGAUCAGCGACGUUCAUCAGGUGGUCUCCAUCGAGUCGAUUCGCCAGUUGUUCCGUCACUCUGGUGAUGGAUAUGUGAUCUGUGCGUACGAGCGGAUGGUGGACGGGAUGUACGGCAUGGAGGCAUACGUCGAGUUCCGGUCUCGAUGGAGGGCGGCGCGAGCUCGAGAUGCCCUGGAUGGCCAUGCUAUCUACGAUGGCUGCUGCAUCCUUGCCGUUGACCUCGUCCCGCCAGUCUACACCACCGUCACCAUGCCGGAUGACGACGGGAUGGCGCCCUCGUACUUCUACGACGACACUCCCUACGCGGAGUGGACUGCAACAUUGGCCGCGGUCGAGCGCCAUGAUGAGGCGCCCGCUACAUCCACUGACGACCUCCAACUCGAGGCGUCCAUGGGCGCCAUCAGCUUGACUCCCUUCGAGUUCGCCUCUCCUACAGCAUCCACCCCGUCCACAACCACCGGUGACACCAUUCUGGAGCUCGCUGUGAGCGACAAGGUGCUUGAGAUUGACUCAACCAUCGUAGAUACUCCAACGCCCACCACAUGUUCGAUGGGGUGCCCAAGCGGCGAUGCGUCUGAGGAGUCAGCGCUCACUUCAUCUGCGGCAGUAACUUCAUCCAUGACCACCACCGACAUCGUUCCUGAGCUCACUGCAACUGGUGGCUGCUCCUCAGUGGCGCACACCACCUGUUCGACUACGGGUCUCGACCCCGACACAAGGCAUAUCCAGGCCGCUGAGGUGCCCUUGCUCAUGGUGGACCAGUUCCUGAUGGCCCUUGAUGUCUUCUCUGAGAUCGCGACCUCUAUGGGCAAGCUCACGAUUGAUCCUUCCAUGGUUCCGCUCAAAACCGGUCUGAUUGCAUGUUCUGAAAGUGAUGACGGCAUAUUGUCCCAUGUGUCAUCGACAAACCAGUGCUCUCCAGUUCAUUGGGAACCACCUUGGCCACUACCACCUCAAGGUAUAUUUGAGAAGCCAUUCCUGAGCCAGCCAUACGGAAAUCUCAAUUACUAUGCUACCAGAAUUACCUUGAGUACAACUAGUUCCUCUGGUUACCAUUGUUUGCAUGUGGAGUUUGGAAACUUUAGUUUUGAGUUACUUUCUGUUGAUGAGUGUUGGAAGUAUUGGAAAUAUGAGCCUGGGUAUGGUUGUGCUUCAAUGGAAGAAUCAAAUGACAAAUUACUGGAAGGCUUAGUUUCUUCUGCGGAUCCUUGUGAGCAGGACCAUUCCAUUAUAAUUGUUGAAAGUCUACCGGGUACUCCUUAUUGGGUUUGUUCUCUGCGAUUUUUGAAGUCUGUUAUGCACUCGAGAGUAUCCUGCAGUUUUUGGCCACUUAUGCAGCAGUUUAGUGACAAUGGAUGGCUCUCAUUUCAAGUUGAAAUAUCUGUGACCGACAUGGUACAGUGCGCCGAAUCGAGGGCCAAUACUUUGAAUGGAGCAAGUCAUUUUUCUAUUGCUCCUUGGGAGGCCUUCUUUUGUUUCAUGAUGAGAUGUGGCCAAGCUUGUUACAAGUCCAAGUAUCUGGUUCACGAAUAUGUUCAUGAAGGGCCUUUAAUGAUCAAACAUACAUGUCUUGUUCCUGGAGAAGAGUUGUUAAUUAGUACUACCUUUGCUGCUUUGGAAUCACAUAUGUUGCACCUAUUUGGUGAUGCAAGUGGUCCGUGCAAUCCUAUUUUGUUGUGGUCCUUGGAUGAUGAACUUGGGGGCAUACAAAAAAGGUGGUCAUCUAUUCAGUAUAUGCAGCUAGCCAGUGCAUUCCUUGAGGUUUUCGUUGGGCAAGUUUGUUAUGUUUUUGGAGUGAGUGCUACAGGUUUAAUCCAGUAUGUGCGUGCAAGUGGUUUUGCAACCAUUUUUAGUUGGGUUGAUCUCCAGGAAGGUGGCACUAAUGCAAUUUUUCAAGCUCAUAAUCUUGUACAACACAACACUGCAAUUCCUUUGCAAGUCUUGUUCAUAGGGGCAAUUAUGCACUUAUUCUGGAAUGAAGCUACACCCGGCUCUGUGAUGGAAGCUUUCAUGGAUGGUGGACAACAGUUAGAGGAUAAAUAUCUACAGCCAGGCCCUCCAUGGUUGUUUUCUUCUCAGCUACAACAUCAAAUUACUUCCAGGGUACUAGCUCUAAACAUUUACCCAGCAAGUGCUUCAUAUUCUGGUCCUUAUUAUUGCCGACGGGAACUUGCAUGGUUGAUUGUGCAAUCCUCCUGUGCUCGUACCAAAUUUGGAGGAAGUGAAACUUUCACCAAUAUGUCUUCCCCAGUCCGGCCAUUAACUCUGAAGGAGUCAACAUCCAUGUUUCUUGUGGCUGACCUAUGGAGGAAGGGAAAUGUGGCAAUCUACCUAAACUUUAACACAGUCCAGACUCCCAGAUUUUGCAUGGUUGGUCAGCAAAUGUUUCCAGGUCAGUCCUUGUUGAUAUUUUUGCCGUCAUGGCUUUUGUUGCCUCUUGCUGUUCUGGAUCUAGGUGAGGAGAUACUUGGGUUGAGGAAUGGUCUCUUUUUGUUGGAAUGUAAUCUAUGCAUUGAGAAGUUACAGAAGUAUUCAGUUCCCCUGAUAGAACUGAAACCUUGGCCAUCCUGGGAGCUAACCUUAUCGUUCCUGACCUUGAGUAUCAUCGAAAAUCUCAUGCAAAUCGCCAAUUCAACCAGAGUACAAGCCGAAUCACAUAGGAGCCAUCAGUGGAAAUAUGACUGGCGAGCAGUGUCUUGGUUAGGAGAUAUUCUCCUACAGGUUGCAAUUCGCCAAAAUGCUAGAGUUGCUUGUUGUUGGGGAACAUCUAACCAUGGAGAGAUGAGGUUUUGCUACUUUUGGGAGUCAGACAGUGAGAAUUCUUCUUGCAUCGGACCUUCUUCUUGCACCGGACCAUUAGUUGAUGAAGCUGCGAGAUGGUGUCUUGUCAAACUGAAAGCUUGGAUUCACCAACAUAGCCUGGGUGCUUUGAUAGUAUGGCCACGUUUCACAAUGAUUCAGUAUGCAGACUUGUGUUCGGAAGAUAUGAAUUCUUGGAAUUAUCCAAUGCCAUCUGUGAGUUCCAUUCUACUGAAGAAUGGACCGAAUAUGCAGAGUCGUUUUGAGGUUAUGCAAUGGAAAAUUGCAUGGUCUUUUCACUUUGAGUAUCUUGAUGGUGGCGACCAGUUUUUCUAG